rnacentral:rRNA from 1 species
CCUACGGGUGGCAGCAGUGGGGCAUAUUGGGCAAUGGGCGCAAGCCUGACCCAGCGACGCCGCGUGAAGGAAGAAGGCUUUCGGGUUGGAAACUUCUUUUGUCAGGGACGCAGCAAGUGACGGUACCUGACGAAUAAGCCACGGCUAACUACGUGACAGCAGCCGCGGUAAUACGUAGGUGGCAAGCGUUAUCCGGAUUUAUUGGGUGUAAAGGGCGUGUAGGCGGGAAUGCAAGUCAGAUGUGAAAACUAUGGGCUCAACCCAUAGCCUGCAUUUGAAACUGUAUUGCUUGAGUGCUGGAGAGGCAAUCGGAAUUCCGGGUGUCGCGGUGAAAUGCGUAGAUAUACGGAGGAACACCAGUGGCGAAGGCGGAUUGCUGGACAGUAACUGACGCUGAGGCGCGAAAGCGUGGGGAGCAAACAGGAUUAGAUACCCUAGUAGUC